rnacentral:rRNA from 1 species
UAAGGAAUAUUGGUCAAUGGGCGGAAGCCUGAACCAGCCAUGCCGCGUGCGGGAAGAAGGCCCUCUGGGUUGUAAACCGCUUUUGUCAGGGAAGAAUGGAGGGGAUUUAUCCUCUUAGGGACGGUACCUGAAGAAUAAGCACCGGCUAACUCCGUGCCAGCAGCCGCGGUAAUACGGAGGGUGCAAGCGUUAUCCGGAAUCACUGGGUUUAAAGGGUACGUAGGCGGUCUAAUAAGUCAGGUGUGAAAUACCGCGGCCUAACUGCGGAACUGCACUUGAUACUGCUAGACUUGAGUAGGGUGGAGGUACACGGAAUGCAUCAUGUAGCGGUGAAAUGCUUAGAUAUGAUGUAGAACACCGAUAGCGAAGGCAGUGUGCCACACCUAUACUGACGCUGAGG